UACCUGGGUCGCCUUCUCCAGUGAGAAGGCGACCACUGGGCUGCCUUCUCACCGGAGAAGGCGACGUUUCAU
rnacentral:pre_miRNA from 1 species